UACGUAGGGGGCAAGCGUUGUCCGGAAUUAUUGGGCGUAAAGAGCGUGUAGGCGGCCAGAUAAGUCCGCUGUGAAAUCUCGAGGCUCAACUUCGAGCUGUCGGUGGAAACUAUCUGGCUAGAGUCCGGAAGAGGAGAAUGGAAUUCCUGGUGUAGCGGUGAAAUGCGCAGAUAUCAGGAGGAACACCAACGGCGAAGGCAGCUCGCUGGGACGGUACUGACACUGAGGCGCGAAAGCGUGGGGAGCGAACAGG
rnacentral:rRNA from 1 species